rnacentral:rRNA from 1 species
AACGAACGCUGGCGGCAUGCCUAACACAUGCAAGUCGAACGAUGCCUUCGGGCAUAGUGGCGCACGGGUGCGUAACGCGUGGGAAUCUGCCCUUGGGUUCGGAAUAACUCAGAGAAAUUUGAGCUAAUACCGGAUGAUGACGUAAGUCCAAAGAUUUAUCGCCCAAGGAUGAGCCCGCGUAAGAUUAGCUAGUUGGUGGGGUAAAGGCCUACCAAGGCGACGAUCUUUAGCUGGUCUGAGAGGAUGAUCAGCCACACUGGGACUGAGACACGGCCCAGACUCCUACGGGAGGCAGCAGUGGGGAAUAUUGGACAAUGGGCGAAAGUCCUGAUCCAGCAAUGCCGCGUGAGUGAUGAAGGCCUUAGGGUUGUAAAGCUCUUUUACCAGGAUGAUAAUGACAGUACCUGGAGAAU